rnacentral:rRNA from 1 species
GAGCGGAUGAAAGUAGCUUGCUACAGGAUUCAGCGGCGGACGGGUGAGUAAUGCUUAGGAAUCUGCCUAUUAGUGGGGGACAACAGGUUGGAAACGGUUGCUAAUACCGCAUACGCCCUACGGGGGAAAGCAGGGGAUCUUCGGACCUUGCGCUAAUAGAUGAGCCUAAGUCAGAUUAGCUAGUUGGUGGGGUAAAGGCCUACCAAGGCGACGAUCUGUAGCGGGUCUGAGAGGAUGAUCCGCCACACUGGGACUGAGACACGGCCCAGACUCCUACGGGAGGCAGCAGUGGGGAAUAUUGGACAAUGGGGGGAACCCUGAUCCAGCCAUGCCGCGUGUGUGAAGAAGGCCUUUUGGUUGUAAAGCACUUUAAGCGAGGAGGAGGCUACCAGUAUUAAUACUACUGGAUAGUGGACGUUACUCGCAGAAUAAGCACCGGCUAACUCUGUGCCAGCAGCCGCGGUAAUACAGAGGGUGCGAGCGUUAAUCGGAUUUACUGGGCGUAAAGCGUGCGUAGGUGGUCUUUUAAGUCGGAUGUGAAAUCCCUGAGCUUAACUUAGGAAUUGCAUUCGAUACUGGGAGACUAGAGUAUGGGAGAGGAUGGUAGAAUUCCAGGUGUAGCGGUGAAAUGCGUAGAGAUCUGGAGGAAUACCGAUGGCGAAGGCAGCCAUCUGGCCUAAUACUGACACUGAGGCACGAAAGCAUGGGGAGCAAACAGGAUUAGAUACCCUGGUAGUCCAUGCCGUAAACGAUGUCUACUAGCCGUUGGGGUCUUUGAGACUUUAGUGGCGCAGCUAACGCGAUAAGUAGACCGCCCUGGGGAGUACGGUCGCAAGACUAAAACUCAAAUGAAUUGACGGGGGCCCGCACAAGCGGU